rnacentral:tRNA from 1 species
GGGCCCUUAGCUUAGCCUGGUUAAAGCGACCGGCUCAUAUUUCCACGCUCGGUUCCGAGGUGGAAUGGGUGACCGGUUGAGCGCUGGUUCAAAUCCGGCAGGGCCCA